rnacentral:misc_RNA from 1 species
GUGAAUCAUCGAAUCUUUGAACGCAAAUUGCACUCUCCGGUUUUCCGGGAGCGGAUGCCUGGUUGAUGGUCAGCCUAAAAAAAAUCGUCAUUGUUGCUGUUUUAUGGUGACUUUCGUCGGAGAUUGUUUAUCUUAAUUCUCGGUUUUAUCGACUUAAAAAUUUUUUUUACUAUUCUAAGAAUUUUUCUAAGAUUUUUCUUGUACGUUUAAGGUAUCGAAUGUCUUAUUAGACGUGGCCGUCAUAGCGGAUCGUGUACAUAAUUUUUUUU